rnacentral:lncRNA from 1 species
UGGGAGGAGACAAAAUAAUUCAAGACUCUCUUAAAAUUAGUUCUAUUUUAAUUUAGUAGUGUAGAAUUAAUCCAUUGUAAUUUAGAAGUUUUUUUUUUUUUAGACAAGCUUGUGCACAUUGGGCCAAAUUUUGGCAAAAACAUGAUGGGCCAAAAUAGUUGUAGGACACUUGGCAACUUUAGGGUUUUUGGGUGGACCCCACCCAACCUUAAAAUAGGACACAUGGCCCUAGGGAUUCCAACAAUUCCCUUCCAGCCGCCACUCUCCUCUUCUUGGCUGGAACGCUGUUUUAGUUGAAGAUGGGGUGAAUGAUAGAAACAAUUUUUUCGUUUUAAGCAUUGAUUGGUAUUUUGCAUUGGGUGUCCUUUAUUUUCUUUAUUUUCUUUUUUUUUAUUUCAGCUGCACGGAUUUAUAUUUCCAUUUACGAAGCUCACAACUUGUUCAACAGAUUCACGAAAGCAACUCAUUUGCGUAUGACUUUGAUUAUCUUUUAGAAAAUGUUCAUAUUUAGUUUGCUGCAGCGGUGCAUAUGCAUUAAUUUUAGGAAGCUCAUUUAAUUUUCUUAGUAAUCAUGUGGUGAUUCAAGUGAGAAGUACAGGGUGCACGCUCCUGGCAUCUUUUAGAAGUUUUAUUCAUUUCCUUUCUUUUAGGCACGGACAUCCAUAGCUGAUUUCAUUUUGCUUUUAUUUUGCUGAAUUUUAUUUUGCACCGUGAAUUUUAUUUUUCUUUUAGUGUUGAUUUCAUUUUAUUUGGUUGGAAUGAAUGCACGGUUCAUUUUAAUUUAAGUUGGAGGUGGCACACGUUUCAAUUUUGUUUUGCACGCAAGUUGCAGCUUAAUUCCCUUACUUUUAGAAAAGCUUUGGAAAAAGCUUUGGAAUGAAGACCAUGGUGAAAUUUAUUUGACUUUGGACCAUUGGGAGCACACGGAAGCAACUUACACUUUCAAUUUAGCUUAAGUUUAAAAGCAAUGUGCAUUUUUUUUUUAUUUUAUUAUUCCAGCUGCCACCCACAUAAGUUACGUUUAAGUUUCCAUUCAAAUUGCAAGCACGUUGUGUUGAUUUCAAUUGCUUUUAGAAAGUGGAUGUUGAUACAUUGAAGGAAGUGUG